GAACGGGUGAGUAACACGUUUUAGGGUGAUCUGCCCUGCACUCUGGGAUAAGCCUGGGAAACUGGGUCUAAUACCGGAUAUGAGCUCCUGCCGCAUGGUGGGGGUUGGAAAGGUUUACUGGUGCAGGAUGGGCCCGCGGCCUAUCAGCUUGUUGGUGGGGUAAUGGCCUACCAAGGCGACGACGGGUAGCCGGCCUGAGAGGGCGACCGGCCACACUGGGACUGAGACACGGCCCAGACUCCUACGGGAGGCAGCAGUGGGGAAUAUUGCACAAUGGGCGAAAGCCUGAUGCAGCGACGCCGCGUGAGGGAUGACGGCCUUCGGGUUGUAAACCUCUUUCAGCAGGGACGAAGCGCAAGUGACGGUACCUGCAGAAGAAGCACCGGCCAACUACGUGCCAGCAGCCGCGGUAAUACGUAGGGUGCGAGCGUUGUCCGGAAUUACUGGGCGUAAAGAGCUCGUAGGCGGUUUGUCGCGUCGUCUGUGAAAACCCGCAGCUCAACUGCGGGCUUGCAGGCGAUACGGGCAGACUUGAGUACUGCAGGGGAGACUGGAAUUCCUGGUGUAGCGGUGAAAUGCGCAGAUAUCAGGAGGAACACCGGUGGCGAAGGCGGGUCUCUGGGCAGUAACUGACGCUGAGGAGCGAAAGCGUGGGUAGCGAACAGGAUUAGAUACCCUGGUAGUCCACGCCGUAAACGGUGGGCGCUAGGUGUGGGUUUCCUUCCACGGGAUCCGUGCCGUAGCUAACGCAUUAAGCGCCCCGCCUGGGGAGUACCGCUCGCAAGGAAUGAAGUUAACAGCAAUGAAUUUG
rnacentral:rRNA from 1 species